rnacentral:rRNA from 1 species
AUGCACGCACAAUUGGGGAGCCACAACGCCUCCUUCUACUUUGGCUGUCCGUCACCACGGCGCCCAGCCCCUCGCACGGGAUGUCCAAGGUGCCGGUUGCCUCCUCGGACGCAUCACCCAACCCUGCCUCUCCCUCUACACAGCCUCCCUCCCAGCCUGUGCUACACGGCCUGUUGGCACCCGCCCAGCCCCACAACAACACGGCCAGAGGUCCACGUUUGCUCUGCACCUUGCUCUGUGCUGUUGCAGGCAGUACCUGUUCAUCUUCCUCUUGCCCUGGAGCAGCGAGCUCCGGGACCGACGUAUCCGAUGGAUGCUGGGGAGCCCGUGUUGGACAGAUCCCAUGCUCACCCCAGGGGCAGGCUUGCAUGGCCGCGUUGGCUGGAGAGCCAUUGGUGUCCUUCACCUGUCGCCACGGUUGGCUGGAGAGCCGACUUAUUGAGUUGGUGUUUAUUUUUAUAA